UACAUCUGUAUCCCACUCAGUCUUUAUUUAAGUCUCUAGAAGACAGUCGAUGCAAAGUCUCCUCCCCUUCAUCCCUUUAUAAACAGACACUCAACUCUGGUCUUUUCAUUAUAGGCAGCUUGGACUGACAUUACAACAAGUCCUAUAUUAGCUAAUACUGAACAAUGGAACAGAUGAUUAUCUGCAGUUUAGUUCUCAUGGUGAUGUCCAUACACAGUGUUUGUUGUGAUAUAAGGCUGGAUCAGUCUCCUCCUCAAGUGAAAAGACCUGGUGACACUGUUAAACUGUCCUGUACAAUCUCUGGUUUCUCAAUGAGUGGCUACUGGAUACACUGGAUGAGGCAGAACCAAGGCAAAGCCCUGGAGUGGAUCGGGAGAAUGAAUAGCAAUUCUCCAUACUACUCAGACUCCCUGAAAGACCAGUUCACCCUGACUGAGGACGUCUCCACAAGCACACAGUUCUUAGAGGCCAAGAGUCUGAGAUCAGAGGACUCUGCUGUUUAUUAUUGUGCCCGAGAGACACAGUGACUG